rnacentral:rRNA from 1 species
UACAGAGGUCUCAAGCGUUGUUCGGAUUCAUUGGGCGUAAAGGGUGCGUAGGCGGUCGGGUAAGUCUGACGUGAAAUCUCCAAGCUCAACUUGGAAAUGGCGUCGGAUACUAUUCGGCUCGAGGAAUGGAGGGGAGACUGGAAUUCUCGGUGUAGCAGUGAAAUGCGUAGAUAUCGAGAGGAACACCAGUGGCGAAGGCGAGUCUCUGGACAUUUCCUGACGCUGAGGCACGAAAGCCAGGGGAGCAAACGGG